GUGGAGGCUCUUGGUGCUCUACAGACGGGGCAGUUUUGAGAGAGACGUUUUGCGGUGCUUUGAUUGCGCCAUGGGGAACCGUUGGAGUUGGAGAGGCUGCAGAGGGUUGCAUAUUAGAAGCUGUGGUUAACUUGAUGGGGAAACGAUUCUCCCUUGCAUAGACUGAGUUCUCUUGGGCGAGUCGAGCUUUCUCAGCCAAAGGAGACUCGAGCUGGAGCCUUAUCUGGUAAACAACAUUUCAAUUCACUUAUUAAGUAUGUACUUGUAAAUCCCGGACAGAUUUGUAGUAGCAAUUGAAUGAACCAUCUCCUUUUUGCAUGUAAGAAUAAUGGGAAUGUAAAGUGUAGAAAAGCCUAAGCAAAGUGUGAAUCCUGUAGUUAAAACUCAAAAGUGCAUAUAAACAGAGCAUCUUUUCAAUGCUGAAAACACAAA